rnacentral:rRNA from 1 species
UACGUAGGGGGCAAGCGUUGUCCGGAUUUAUUGGGCGUAAAGAGCGUGUAGGCGGUUAGGUAAGUCCGUUGUGAAAACUCGAGGCUCAACCUCGAGACGCCGAUGGAAACCAUCUAACUAGAGUCCGGAAGAGGAGAGUGGAAUUCCUGGUGUAGCGGUGAAAUGCGCAGAUAUCAGGAAGAACACCAGUGGCUAAGGCGGCUCUCUAGUACGGUACUGACGCUGAGACGCGAAAGCGUGGGGAGCGAACAGG